rnacentral:rRNA from 1 species
GCGUGCCGAUUGAUUGGGCUGGUUUUGUGACGUUUCUAGUCUUGAUCUUGUCCCUUUUUAUGGGGAUCUUUUUGGGACAAGAACGCGGCUUUACCGAUCCCU